rfam:Cephalotus follicularis DNA, scaffold: scaffold7511, isolate: St1.
AGGAGUGAUCAUACCAGCACUAGUGCAUCGGAUUCCAUCGAAACUUCGAAGUUAAGCACUUGGGUGAGAAUAGUUCUAAGAUGGGCUUGUCUUAUGACUUUUA